GUUUUAAUAUUUUAAUAAAAAUAUUGGUCUUGUAAACCAACAUUGGCUCCGCCUUAAAACU
rnacentral:tRNA from 1 species